rnacentral:lncRNA from 1 species
UCUCUGCCGCCCAGUUACAAAAAGUGGCAACUUCCCCUCCGGCCCGCAGACUGAUCGCUCAUUUGAAUGCGUUUCCUUUUCAUUAAGAACAAAGGUUGGAGUCCGAGCCUCGCGGCGCGGCGGCCGGAAAGUACAAGAUGUGUGUCGAGAGCAAACACACACACACACACACACACACACACAGAAUGACCCACGAGAAAGGGAAAGGGGAAAACACCAAUCCUGCGCUGGGCUUUUUCGACUUUUCCUUUAAAAAGAAAAAAGUUUUUCAAGCUGUAGGUUCCAAGAACCGGCAGGAGGGGGGCGAGGCGGGGUGGGGGGGUGUACAGAAAAGGCGCCUGGUCGGUUAUGAGUCACAAGUGGGUUAUAAAAGGGUCGCACGUUCGCAGGCGCGGGCUUCCUGUGCGCGGCUGAGCCGGGGCGCAGCGCGACGGUCCCAUCGGGCGGCCUCCACCCUCGGGACGCGAGCGGAGCGCCGAGCCCAGCGGCGAUCACGCGACGCGGGGAAGGAAGGAAGUGUGACUACCACUUCACUUUCAUAUAUCUCCUAA